UUUUUGCUAUCUGCGAUCUGGAUGAUUCGAACCUGCAGCAGGUUCGAGCCGAACGCAGUGAGGCACCGGAGCCGUUUACGGCGACGGCCCGAAGGGCGAGCGAAGCGAGUCAUCCUGCACGACCCACCA
rnacentral:sRNA from 29 species